CUGUGUGGAACUUGGGAUUCCAACCGCAGGCGGGAAGCGCUCUAGCUGGCGGCUCUGGCCUUGUGAGGGAUACCUAAGUCCCCCCGCCCUCUUUUAUUUCCCUUUCACCCAAUAAACCCUACUUUACUUACGCUUUAAAUCAUCUGCGAGCCUAAAUUUUCAUGGCUGUGGGACAGACAAGAACCUUGUCUUUAGCUGAACUAAGAAAAAGUCCUGCAACAUCUUUUGGCGCGCAGUGUCGGGGCACCAGAAGCGGGCACCGUUGAGCUGUUGCAACUGUUCUGCUGCAGACUUAUGUAUGUAGUUGAAACCACCUGUACUACUGGAACGAAGCACCUUUACAGAAGAGGCAAUGCAAGUUGUAUUAAUCACAUGCAUAGAAUGAAUUAAGAUUUAUGCCAGCUGCAAAGAAGAAUGUUGGUUCACUAUUUUUCCUCUGGGCAUGGGUACAACCAAUUUUCCAGUCUUGGCCCCUUAUCUGUUGACCAAGCUAAGGCAGAAACCAACUAAAUUCUGGAUUUAAUCUUGAGCAACAUAAAAGAUCAGCUUUUGAAGUGAAUCUGCUUUUAUUCUUGGCAAAAGUUUGGAGGAGACCAACCAGAGUGGUGACAAAGUUCUUCAACAUCAAGCCAAAUGUAAUACAAGGAAUUAUGGAUAGUGCUUAAUCUAAAAUAAAGAAAUUCCACAUCUCUCUAAAAAGUUAUUGGCUUCAAGAAUGAAAACAAAAGAAGCAUAUUUGUCUCAAUCCAAACAUAGACACCAGAAAGACAAACCAGGACUAUACAGCAAAGUAGCUUGCAGGAUAAUACAUUGAAAAAUGUAAUUGUGCAUAAAUCAUGCACAAAGUAGAAACCACAAAUUCUGUAUUUGGCAAGGCUUCCAUUCCUUUGCAUAAUUCUUUCAUUUUCAUCUUGCUGCUUCCAUUCUCUUUUCAUCGAAUAAAGCUGUAUAAAACAAAGACAUAAACUGUAUGCAAUUAAAAUGAGAAAAUAGCUGAAAGGAAUGUAUUGAUAAUUAUGUUAAAAUCUAUACCAUAAUUUUUCUUGCAUUGUUAGGCAUCUACUUUGUCAUGUGUUGACGUCAGCAUCUCAGUUCUCUCCAACAUCUGAAAGCUUUUUUUUUUUUUUUUUAAGGCAACUUCUUUUAGAGUGAACAAACUUAUGUACCACUGAGUUGACAAAGGUAUAUCUAUAUCCUACAGAAGGAGACCUCAAGUAAACCUCCAGCAGCCAUCUGGACUUCCAUGAAAACAGAGCAAUCAGUGAGAGGCAGAGCUUGGAGGAGACGGUUUCCAUAGACUGAAGCAGGUGCUGAAGCAAAACUCACACUUGCAGGAUUGCAAGAGGUUGACCGAAAGAAGGAAGGACAUUGACAGCUACGUUGUUGUGGAGUCUUGUUUUAUAGUUAUAACCUUGAGUCAAGUGGGUUUGUCUGGACAGAGUGUGUUGCCUUUACUUAUAGGGAAGGCACCAGACACAGAUAGUCUCAGGGACAUUUGUUCUAGCCUUUCAGUAUCCUUUCUCUGAAUUAUCUCACCUCAUCCAUGAAGCUGGUACGUACGAUUUUUCCUUUCUUUCUCAAUCCUUUAAAAAAUUAAAGCCCUAAAUCUCAUUUCCACUGAGGUUUUAAUGUUUCAUUGUAACUUAAGAUAAAACCUUUCUCUGAUGUUAAAAAUAUUAAAGUAAGAAGCAAUAUGGCAUGGUGCUUAUGAGCAGGACUACAUAGUUCUUUCUGAAGACAAAUCUCAGACAAAACAUUAUCUCAGUGAUCAGCCAGGUUAAGCAACCUUUUUAGUACCUCAAUUAUUCCAUUUAUAAAAUUGUAAUAAUGAUAGCACUAACUUAUAAGAUUGUGGUGAGGAUUAAGUCAGAUAAUACAAAAGAAGCGUUUAGAGAAUUACCUGGCAUUAUCUACCAUUUAUUGAAUUUUUAUGGUUAAGAAGAAUAAGGAAAAGCAGAAGAAAAGAAAAAGAGAAAAAAUAGGAAGAAGGAAGAGUGGUAAGUUCUAAUAAAUUACAACAAAUGGUAAUGUAGAAAACAUUUGUUAGCCCUUAAUAUAGGCCAGGCAUUGUGUUCAAUGCUUUUAAACCUCAUUACUGUUCUUUAAAGUGGAUAACAUUCCUUCCAUUUUAAAGAUAGGAAUCCUAAAGACGACUUUGUCAAUAUUAUUUACGUUAUAAAUGACAGAAUUUGACCAAGACAAUAGAGAAUGAACUCUUAAUCAUUGUAUUGUUUUAUUUUUUGAAAAUAGAUGUUAAGUUCUUAUUAAAUGUUAAUGAAUCACAUCAAAAUAAAGCCAAUCAAAAUUGACAGCAA